rnacentral:rRNA from 1 species
GCUACGGGCGGCAUCAGUGAGGAAUAUUGGUCAAUGGACGAGAGUCUGAACCAGCCAAGUAGCGUGAAGGAUGACUGCCCUAUGGGUUGUAAACUUCUUUUAUAGGGGAAUAAAAUGUUCCACGUGUGGGAUUUUGUAUGUACCAUAUGAAUAAGGAUCGGAUAACUCCGUGCCAGCAGGCGCGGUAAUACGGAGGAACCGAGCGUUAUCCGGAUUUAUUGGGGUUAAAGGGAGCGUAGGUGGUUUGUUAAGUCAGUUGUGAAAGUUUUCGGCUCAACCGUAAAAUUGCAGUUGAAACUGGCAGUCUUGCGUACAGUCUCGGUGGGCGGAAUUCGUGGUGUAGCUGUGACAUGCUUCGAUAUCACGAAGAACUCCGAUUGCGACGGCAGCUCACUGGACUGCAACUGACACUGAGGCUCG